rnacentral:tRNA from 2 species
GUGUUGCUAACGUCCAGCGGACUUUUAAUCCGCUGGUCGCUGGUUCGAUUCCAGCACGGCCCACCA